CCUGGUGGCUCAGAUGGUGAAGCAUCUGCCUAUGAUGCAGGAGAUCCGGGUUCAAUCCCUGGGGUCAGGA
rnacentral:tRNA from 1 species